UCUGUCGUGGUGCAGUGGUUUAGCACGCUGGACGCAUUAAGUCCAGAGACCUGAGUUCGAUUCUCAGCGACGGAA